rnacentral:rRNA from 1 species
UGGGGAAUCUUGCGCAAUGGGCGAAAGCCUGACGCAGCCAUGCCGCGUGAAUGAUGAAGGUCUUAGGAUUGUAAAGUUCUUUCGCCCGUGACGAUGAUGACGGUAACGGGAGAAGAAGCCCCGGCUAACUUCGUGCCAGCAGCCGCGGUAAUACGAAGGGGGCUAGCGUUGUUCGGAAUUACUGGGCGUAAAGCGCGCGUAGGCGGUUUUGCAAGCCAGAGGUGAAAUGCCUGAGCUCAACUUAGGAAUUGCCUUUGGGACUGCGAGGCUUUGAGGACGAGAGAGGUGAGUGGAAUUCCCAGUGUAGAGGUGAAAUUCGUAGAUAUUGGGAAGAACACCGGUGGCGAAGGCGGCUCACUGGCUCGUUUCUGACGCUGUAGCGCGAAAGCGUGGGGAUCAAACAGGAUUAGAUACCCAUGUAGUCCCUGAGCGGGCUGGCAAGGCGCAU